AGGGAUCAAGCAGCCAGCAGGUGUGCACCUGUCAGUCAGCUCCACCUGUCAGUCUUAUUUAAGGUGUAAACUUAUAAAAUAGAAGCAGACAGAUUUAUAAUCCCCACAGAUUAAAGAGGACUGACCUGUUUCACCUUCUCAGGGAGUUUCUGGAAGUUUCUCCUGUUUGUGGAUUUAUCAGUUUCACUCAGAGAGGAUGGAGAUCAGCUUUCACCUUCAUGUUGUCCUGAGAGCCACACGAAAUUCCUUCAGGACGAUCAGCGCGGUGAUAACCACGAGGGGAAGAGGAGCCUGUCUGACAUCAUUUCACUGGAGAUAGAGAGUCAGUCCGAGCACAUCUUUGGCCUCAUUAAACCGAUUUCAGCAUCAGGCCGGAUGUGGGGCUGAAAUCCGUGGAGGCCGUGGGAUCUGUCCGUUUGGUGGAUCUGCUGAAGGCGUCCGCUCUCUCUAAAGGCUCGGGGUUCGAGCUGGAGAGACGUCGAUCCAAGAGGUCUGUGUUUCUACACUCUGGAGUCAGAAUCUGCCCCCAAGAGACCCUCAACGAAAUCCUCGCCAGCCACCGAGCCUACUACCAGCUCAGAGGUACUCCCUCCUCCUCUACAUUCACACAGAGUAACUCGAGGACACGUCAGAGUUUCCUCAGACUCUCCUCCUUCACUCUCACUCCGAAGUUUAACAGAAAACAAACAUUAUUAAACUCCAGCGUUCCAGAGAACAAAUCAGCUUUAAUGGCUUGAUUUCCAGCUCCGCAGCGAGCAGAUGUCCCUUCCUUUUCGUCCGCUAGAUUAAACCCAAUUUGAUGGUAUUGUUGGUAAUCAAGCUGCAAGCAGCGACCAUCCUGUAAACUUUUUAUGGCGGUGCAUUCAAGGACAU